UGGGAAUUUUGGACAAUGGGGGAAACCCUGAUCCAGCCAUCCCGCGUGUGCGAUGAAGGCCUUCGGGUUGUAAAGCACUUUUGGCAGGAAAGAAACGUCAUGGGUUAAUACCCCGUGAAACUGACGGUACCUGCAGAAUAAGCACCGGCUAACUACGUGCCAGCAGCCGCGGUAAUACGUAGGGUGCAAGCGUUAAUCGGAAUUACUGGGCGUAAAGCGUGCGCAGGCGGUUCGGAAAGAAAGAUGUGAAAUCCCAGAGCUCAACUUUGGAACUGCAUUUUUAACUACCGGGCUAGAGUGUGUCAGAGGGAGGUGGAAUUCCGCGUGUAGCAGUGAAAUGCGUAGAUAUGCGGAGGAACACCGAUGGCGAAGGCAGCCUCCUGGGAUAACACUGACGCUCAUGCACGAAAGCGUGGGGAGCAAACAGG
rnacentral:rRNA from 1 species